rnacentral:tRNA from 1 species
GUUUUCAUGGUGUAAUUUAACACAUUAUAUUUUCAUUAUAAAACUGAAUUAUUUGUUCUGGAAAUU